AACUAACGCUGGCGGCGCGUCUUAAGCAUGCAAGUCGGACGGGAACCCGAGCUUCGGCUUGGGGGAGAGUGGCGAACGGGUGAGUAACACGUAGGUGAUCUGUCCCUGGGUGGGGAAUAGCCCAUGGAAACAUGGGGUAAUACCGCAUAAGGUCAUGAUUCUUUGGGGUUUUGAUGAAAGGAGCAAUUGUUCCGCCUGGGGAUGAGCCUGCGGCCCAUUAGCUAGUUGGUGAGGUAAGAGCCCACCAAGGCGACGAUGGGUAGCCGGCCUGAGAGGGUGAACGGUCACACUGGAACUGAGACACGGUCCAGACUCCUACGGGAGGCAGCAGCUAAGAAUCUUCCGCAAUGGGGGAAACCCUGACGGAGCGACGCCGCGUGGACGAUGAAGGCCGUGAGGUUGUAAAGUCCUUUUCUUGGCGAAGAAUAAGGGGAAGAGUGGAACGCUUCUCUG
rnacentral:rRNA from 1 species